ACUACACAGCCAGCCUCAUCUCGGCGGAUUUGUACCAAGCCCACAGAAUCCAGCCCAUGGCAGGGCCUCGAAGGACAGACCUUUGUGUGGGAAGAAUUAGGAGACUUUCAGUCUGCUGGGCCCUGAAAGCCAGCCAGGAGAAGAUUCCUCACUUCAUGCUUGUGCUUGUUACUGAACAUUAUUGCCUCUGAAUGAUGUCCUGAUCACACGCUGAAACCGACCUGACCACCCAGUGUGAAAUUUUUAUUUGGGAUUCAAGAGACAAGAUGAACCCUCUUUCAGAGCUCCCUGCCAAUUUCUGCACUGGCUUUGGGGUGACAGAUCUGGAAGCAGCAGUUAACAAACUUUUCCAUUUUCAUUCCCCUCGAGGACUAGCCCCUGCCUUCAUCCCAAGGGUCCCUAAUGAGAAGCUUUAGACAUUGCCUCCACUGCUAUUUUCUAUGUGCUGUUUUCUGGGUGAAACCAGGGGCGAACACUUGCUAAGGAGACCCAUGGAAGCUGUGUGGAGUCCCCCUGUUUCCUUCUUAGGACUCUGGACUGGCAGCUGCUAAGUGAGAGCUCAAAAGAAUAUGGAAGUUGAGGUCAUUUCUAGUCUCAUGCCUGACUCUCCUUCAAGGAGAAGAGAAAGAAGCCCUCUUGGGCCCAAGCUGGCCGUCAGGCUGGGGAGCGACACAGCCCCUUUCCCCUCAGGCAGCCUUCUGUGGAUGGAGGGCCUGAGCCCCAGCACAGAGCCAGCAGUCACUCCCCAGACCUCCCUGGCAGUUCAAGGGAUCCAUCAUCAGAACAUGAGCACAGAGUGCUAUGGGAACCUCCCAGCAGCUUUGAUCCCAAACCAUGUUUGUUCUUGGAUUGGCUUGCAGUAGAAGGAGCAGAAUAAUAGCUGUGAGGCCCAAAGCACUGAGGGAAGGGGAAUCCCGUAUCUCUUGGAGCCAAGGGUGAGAAACCUCAGGGCUCAGAGAAGCCUUUACGGCUCUCCAGUCCAGCCUCCCAUGGCCCAACACGUGGCAUCUGGCUUGCACGCCUCUAGAGAUAAGGAGUGCUCUGCUUGAUCCCUCCCUUUUCGCCCGUCCCAUUCCAUCCCAUCCAGAAGCAACUGACUCUCUGAAAGUUCUCCAUUCAAUUCAACAAAAUCCAACAAACCUGUACUGAGUAUCUACUCUGGGCCAGGCACUGUACUAAGCACUGGGGGCAUGGCAGUGAACUCCCAAGAUGUCCAUCCCUUGGUGUCCCAAACGCAACCCUCCUACUACUUCUUCCCUUCUACAGGUAUGCUUAUAUUUGAAAAUAGGCAUCAGGUCCACAGACCCAAGUCUUCUUUGCUGCAGACUUAACAUCCUAUGUCCUGUGCUCUGUUCAUAUUCUUCUUUGUUCAUAUACUUCUGAAAUUUGCAUCCAGAAGGGAAUACACAUGGCCAGCCUAGGAUGGAAGGGGCGUUAAUAGACUUCAUAAUACUGCCCUAUAGCGCGACAGUGCUUCAGCAAGCAUAGCUCAGAAUGUGGAUCAUCCCUCACCCAAAUGCUGCUUUCAUAAUGAAAGACUUUGGCACAUUCCAGCCACAGCGGGCCUCCUGUUAUUCCCCUCCCCUACUCCUGCCCAUCCCCAUCCUGCUUUAUUUGUUUUUAAUAGAUGAGGAAAUCCAGAAAGGUUAAGUAACUAAGUCUUAACUUAGUUUGUGGCAACCCAGGAUUACCAUCUAGAGUUCCUGACUUGGCUGUUAGUCUUUUAGUGAAACUAAUAUCUAAAAAUUAAGAAAGGAAUGAGAUACACCCACACACAGAGCAAAACAGCAUAUCUUGAAUUUCAUUCCUGCCUCCAACUAACACUCGUAACUCUUGUGAUCAGUAAUUCAUUCCAACAGUUCUGAUUUCUCCAAGGGCGGUUCGACAUAUAUUGAUAGUGGCAAGUAGACAGGAUCUGGAGUCUCCCUGGGAGAAAGCAGUUCUUUAGAAGUUCUGCCUGACUGAGCUGCCGCAAAUGCUCCUCCUGGACGGUGCCUGGAAUUCUGGAUUACAUUUUUUCAGUUCCACAUCCCCUUCCCGGCCUCCCAAAGGGUAGGACAAGUGCAGGCUGGGGUUGUGAGAUCCACGUGUCGGAUAGAGGGAAGACCGUCCCAGUGGCUCCCUGGCGGCUGUGCUGAGGAGGGCUGGCUCGUGUGCUGGAAUUCCCAAAUAAAAACAAACAAAAAAAUCUAUCAUCACAUUGGUGUAGAGUUCUUGCUCCUCAAGAGCUGGAUUUCCUGGAGCCUGUCUCCUCCAGCUACAGCAGACAGCGUUCCCAUGAGUGGCAACUCCAAGUGCCAAAAGAAGAUAGACGGAUAAGCUUGGGAAAUAACUUCUGCAUUCAAGGUGGCCCCCUAGUAUUUAACCUUAGCCUACCUUUGCAAUUUAACUUGUAUGACGUCCUUUCAUGCACCCUGUGUUCCAGCCAAAGUGAACUGUUCAUCCUAUUUGUGCCCGGUGACCACCCUGCCUUUGCUCAAACAAGUCUCUCCCUGGAAUAUCUCCCUGGAAUAUUUGAACUCUUCAUCUCCAUUAGCCUCAUCCUACCUGGCCUUCAGGAUGCAGCUCACAUGCUGCCUCCUGACAUCCUGCCUGAUCUCUGGAAGUGAUGCUCCUUCUUCUGGCCCAUCAAAGGCUUGUCUCAUUAUUCAUUCAACAAAUAUUUAUUGAGUCUCUCCUAUGAACUGUUUACUAUUCUAGGUAUUUAGGGAACCUCAGUGAACAAAGAAAGAUCCCUGACUUUGGAGAGUUUACCUUCUGUUAUCUCCCUUAAUUUAUUGCUAAUGCUGGACAAGUCUAGUCAUCCUGACAGACAUUCUGUCACUCAAAAUCAGAUUGAUGUCAUGUUGAUACCUCUAUGUAUCCUUUCAAUGGCUUCUUAUUGCUCUUUGUAUAAAGGCAUCAGUACUGAGCAGUGCCUACUAAACCUUCUAUGGAUCCAACCUCCUUUAUGUCAUUUUUCUCCUAGCAUUCUGAAUUCCAGCUUUCUUUUGGUCUCUUCUACUUACCCUGCCACAGUACCUUUACACAUGCUUUCCUUCUGCAUGGAAUACUCUCUCCUCUUCUCUCCACUUAGUUACCUUCAAAUCUCAACUGAAGCGUUACUUCCUGAGAAGAGCUUCCUUGGCCUCCCUAACUAAAUUAAAUACCUCAACACUUUAUGACAUUAUAGCUGUUAUAUCACUUAUCACAGUUGCUAGUUUUCUUGUUUCUGUGAUUAUUUUACUAAUAUCUAUUUCCUAAUCCAUAUGGUAAGUAACUCAAGGGCAGAAGUGGUGUCUAUUUUGGUUUAUCAUUUGCAGCCCUAGCACAUAGUAGGGAGUAAAUAAUUGUUUGUGGAUUGAAUCAGUGAAUGAAUAUCUGCUAGCUAUCAUAUGCGGCAGAUUAUCCAUGGUUAGCUCAGUUUCACGCAUUCUAUUCUUGCCUGUAUGUUCAUGGUUGUCUGGAUGUCUGUCCUAAUUUGUAUUUCAGAAAAUAUAGCCACUCUGAAUAUGCAGCGUUCUGUGCAUAAAGUGCUCAAUCUAUUUUUGUGAUAGCUUAUUAAAUAAAUAAAUGAAUUCAAAGUUUAGUAGAAUGAGGAGGUUGGCGGGAGUGAGAAUCACAUAUUAGAGGAAAUUUCUGUUAACCAAGGUUGUCAGUGGCAUGUCUCCUCAGAUACGGAUGUACACAUGUCAGAAAGGCUCAUCCAAGGAGGCCCAGGCCUGCCGGAAGUCUGUUUAUAUUGUGUCGGCAAGGGAUAAGGUGGAUCUUGCCAGAUUUGUCUCUUGAGGUCUACAGAGUUUUACCUAAAGACCUUGCAGUCAAUGUAGAAAAUUAGUUAAAAUGGUAAAUAAAGUUUUCUUUUAAGUGAAAGAAAAAGAUAGCAUUGGGUAAUAAUUCUUUCCUCUCUUGCUAUUUGCUCUCUUUAAAAAAAGCAAUAGUAAUAUUUUAAGUUUGUUGAAAAAAGAAAAACAAUUAUCCAUUUACAAAGCAAGUUCACAUGUAUUAGCUUAUUUUUAUUGUAGUAGUUCAGUGAGACUGGUAUCAUUAUUCCCAUUUUUUACAGAUGAGGAAAUUGAGGCUCAGGAUUCUCUGCCCAAGGCUAUGUGGCUCUUGUAUCAGCCAGGGUUGUCUAGGUUAUGCUGCAGUAACAAGAACCCCAAAAUCUCAGUGUGCAACAAAGGUUUAUUUCUUGCUCAUGCUAUUUGUCUGCCGUGUGUUUGCUAUGGGACUCUGCAUCAUGCCUCAUUCAAACAUGCAAUGUUGUUGCCUUUCUACGUGUUCUUCCCUUUACCUGCAAUCCUCUUCUUCCUUCACAUUUUCUUGAAAACUUUCCCUGAAUUUGGCUGAAGAUGGUUCUGAGCCUGAUGUUCACAAGUUCUCUGGACUUAUGCCAUCAGACUCUCCUGCAGUUGAUGUUUUACUUGGCAGUACCCCAAGUCGACUACGUACUUCUUGGAGGAAAGGACUGUGCCUUGGUUAUUUCUGUAUUAUCAGUGCCGUUCAUGGAGUCUGGCUCCAAACAAACAAGUGCUAAUUGAAUGGAGAAGAAUGACUUGAACAUGGUUGAGAGUUUAGCCUGGGAAAAAGCUGAGAAUGACGGGCUAUCCACCACACUCUUUCAAAUAUAGCACUGUAGUUCCAGUAUGAUGUUUAAUUUUGAGAAACUGGACCCUGUGAGGCAUGUCAGGUUGAUUUAUCUGUAAAUUGUAUUCCAGAGUAGUUGAGACAUAUUAAGCUAUUGGUCAAGUUAAGAUUGACCAUUUAAACCCUGAUGAAAACCUACCAAGUACAAUAACUGUUUUUCAGUCUGAUUCAUACAAAGCUUCUUCCUCCUGGCAAUGGUAGAUCAUCAAAACUAACCACAUCUCAAGACCAUUCUGUCUAAAUAAAUUUGAGUAAAAU
ensembl:lncRNA